AACACUAACAAAUUAGUUAUACACCAUAGGUAAGAUAGUUAGGCAAUAACCAGUUACAUAAAUAUUUAUCCAAAAGUGAAAUUUUCAAAUAAUAUUUUACCCAAUUUAAUACUAUUAUAUGCCGAAGCUAUGAAAAUCUAGACUAAAACCGGGAUUAGAUACCCCGUUAUUCUACAUCGUAAAUUGAUUUCAUCUACCAGGGGACUACGAACACAGUUUAAAACUCAAAGAACUUGGCGGUUUUUUACACUACUUAGGGGAGCCUGUCCCAUAAUCGAUAAUCCACGAAAAACCUAACCUUUGUUAGCAAUCAGUUUGUAUACCGUCGUCUUAAGCAAACUUCGCAAGAAUCUCGCAAUAAAAUAAUAACUUCUAACGUCAGAUCAAGGCACAGCCAAUACAAAGGUGGAUUGAUGGGCUACAAUUUUCACUUACAACAACGAAUUGUCUUCACUAAAAGAAGCAUGAAGGAGGACUUAAAAGUAAAUUUAUCUAGAUAAAUAAUUUGAAUUUAGCUCUAGAAAAUGC
rnacentral:rRNA from 1 species